UACGGGGGGGGUAAGCGUUGUUCAGAAUUACUGGGCGUAAAGGGCUCGUAGGCGGCCAACUAAGUCGGACGUGAAAUCCCUCAGCUUAACUGGGGAACUGCGUCCGAUACUGGAUGGCUUGGAUUUGGGAGAGGGAUGCGGAAUUCCAGGUGUAGCGGUGAAAUUCGUAGAUAUUCGCAAGAACACCAGUGGCGAAGGCGGCUCACUGGCCCGAUACUGACGCUGAGGCACGAAAGCGUGGGGAGCAAACAGG
rnacentral:rRNA from 1 species